AUACGGAGGGUGCGAGCGUUAAUCGGAAUUACUAGGCGUAAAGGGUGCGUAGGCGGCUUGAUAAGUCGGAUGUGAAAGCCCCGGGCUUAACCUGGGAAUUGCAUUCGAUACUGUCAGGCUAGAGUAUGUCAGAGGUUGGCGGAAUUCCUGGUGUAGCGGUGAAAUGCGUAGAUAUCAGGAGGAACACCAGUGGCGAAGGCGGCUAACUGGGACAAUACUGACGCUGAGGCACGAAAGCGUGGGGAGCAAACAGGAUUAGAAACCCUAGUAGUCC
rnacentral:rRNA from 1 species